UACAGAGGGUGCGAGCGUUGUUCGGAAUUACUGGGCGUAAAGCGCGCGCAGGCGGCCUUUUAAGUCUGACGGUGAAAUGCCGGGGCUCAACCCCGUGCCCGCCGCGGAUACUGGGAGGCUGGAGACAUGUAGAGGCAAGCGGAAUUCCGGGUGUAGCGGUGGAAUGCGUAGAGAUCCGGAAGAACACCGGAGGCGAAGGCGGCUUGCUGGGCAUUGUCUGACGCUGAGGCGCGCAAGCGUGGGGAGCGAACAGG
rnacentral:rRNA from 1 species